ACGCUGGCGGCGUGCCUAAUACAUGCAAGUCGAGCGCAGGAAAUCGACGGAACCCUUCGGGGGGAAGUCGACGGAAUGAGCGGCGGACGGGUGAGUAACACGUAAAGAACCUGCCCUCAGGUCUGGGAUAACCACGAGAAAUCGGGGCUAAUACCGGAUGGGUCAUCGGACCGCAUGGUCCGAGGAUGAAAGGCGCUUCGGCGUCGCCUGGGGAUGGCUUUGCGGUGCAUUAGCUAGUUGGUGGGGUAAUGGCCCACCAAGGCGACGAUGCAUAGCCGACCUGAGAGGGUGAUCGGCCACACUGGGACUGAGACACGGCCCAGACUCCUACGGGAGGCAGCAGUAGGGAAUCUUCCACAAUGGACGAAAGUCUGAUGGAGCAACGCCGCGUGAACGAUGAAGGCCUUCGGGUCGUAAAGUUCUGUUGUAAGGGAAGAACAAGUGCCGCAGGCCAAUGCCUGCACCUUUGACGCGUACCUUGCCAGAAAGCCACGGCUAACUAC
rnacentral:rRNA from 1 species